UUGGGAUAAUGGAGAACGUUCUGUAAUUGGAUGGCGGUGAUGGUUGCAGAACAACGUGAAUGUACUUAAUGCCAUAUAACCGUACACUUAAAAGUGGUUAAAGUGGUCAAUUUAUAUAUAUAUGUAUGUAUAUAUAUAUAACACGCCACAAUAAUAAAUAGUAAAACAUAACCAAAGAAUAGAGGUAUCUGUAGGAGCCCUCUGCCCUAAUGCAGAUGAGCCCCACCCUGUAAACGCUAGUGAAGUCUAAGGAUUUUGGCCAGCAUGGCAACCCCAGUGCUGUCUCUUUUGCUCAGAGCCGUAGAUGGGAAACAGAAGUUAGGGAAGUAUGUCUCAGGCACCCUGGAGGACUCCUCAGGGGAAACUCAUCUGACAAGGACACAGAUAUUUUUCUAGGUUCCGUGAGUCUUCUUUGUGGUUCAUCCUACCAGCUGGAGUUUUCUGAUAUUCCAGUGUAUGUGAAAAUAAUAGCUAAGAUUUUUGUUUUUGUUUUCAGACAGAGUCUCACUCUGUCACCCAGGCUGGAGUGCAGUGGUAC